GGGCGCUGACGAGUGGCGGACGGGUGAGUAACGCGUGGGGAUCUGCCUCGAAGUGGGGAAUAACCGCUGGAAACGGCGGCUAAUACCGCAUACGCCCUCAGGGGGAAAGCUUUAUGCGCUUCGAGAUGAACCCGCGUCGGAUUAGCUAGUUGGUGAGGUAAAGGCUCACCAAGGCGACGAUCCGUAGCUGGUCUGAGAGGAUGAUCAGCCACACUGGGACUGAGACACGGCCCAGACUCC
rnacentral:rRNA from 1 species